UUGUUCUCACUGUAUUUUGACUUUGAAGUUUGAAUAUUAUUAGUAUAAGCGUCUGUAUUCGUUGAUGUUAUUAAUUAUUAAUGAAUAAAAUUACAAUGAAAUCACUAUUAUUUACUUUCAUUGUUUAUAUAUACAGGAAGUAUUAGAUACAACUUUUGAGUUUGGUACUUUGUGAAAUAAUAGUAAACAUUUGUAAGCUGGUAGAAAAAUGGAAAAUAGUCCGCACAAUUGUACAUCAGUUAAAAUUAAGUUAGAAAAUAUUGAAAAUGUUUUUCCAGAUAUUUGGUUUGAAAACAAUGAUAUUAAUCCAUUGGCAAAGUCAAAAAAUGUUUAUAAAACAGAACUUGAUUUCGAUUGGAAUGAAGAACAUAAUAUUUUUGGUGAAAACUAUGAACUUUUAAAUCAGAUAAAAAGAUAGAUGAGUCAGAUAAUACAGAAAUUCUUGAUCAAAAAUAUUUAUCCAACAAAGUGAAGAGCACCAAACUGAAAAAAGAAAAAGGUACACAAAAGAAGCAGUACAAAACAUAUUGUAUGUAUUGUAAAAUAACAGAUGAAUGUGAAAAUCAUGUUACUACUUGUUCAAAGUGUAAAACUUCCUUGAUUUAUCAAUGUCAAAAGUGCAACAUAGUAUGUUCAACUGCUAGUAAAAUACUAUAUCAUAUAAGAAUAUGUAAUUCUAAGUUGUGCUGCUAUUGUUGUCCAGAGUGUACUUUUGUUUCCCAUCUUCGAAAUUCAGUACUGCAACAUGCAAAAAGAUGUCAUCCAACUCUUAAAUCGUACAAUAUUAAAAAGUCUAUAGAAAGUGAACAAAACAUUGAAAAAAUUAAAUUAAAUCAAAAUAAAUGUUUGACAUGUGGUCAACAGUUUAUUUGUACACAAAAUUUAAACAAUCACACUUUGAAUUGUUAUAAAUUUCAUUAUACCAGUUUAAUAGAAUACAAAGAUUCCAAUGAUGCAAGUAUUUUAGAUGCUGAAUUAAAUUCUAAUGUAAUAUCCCUAAAUCUAAAAAAAAUGUCAGUACAUUAUUGUCUAAAAUGUUCUAGAGAAAGUCAAAUAAAUCAGCCUAGUGUAAAAAAUUUUUGUAACAAUUGUCAAUCACUAUUAUUAUUAAAAUGCUUGAAAUGCAGCAAACAAUGUAAAUCAUAUAAGACCAUUAAAUAUCAUUUGCUAU